rnacentral:lncRNA from 1 species
UGAGUGCAACUGAAGCAACAUCAUCUGCUUGCCACAUAAGUCCAAACAAUCAAAUAUGUAAAAGGAAUUGAUUAGAAUCAAAAGAUCAAAUCAUACUCUAUACUACAUGAAUCAUUUUAACGCGCUAUAUUUUAAAUUAUCUCACCACUCAAGAAAAGAAAUAAUAGAAGCUGGAAGAGGAUGACCAGUCUAAAUACCCAUGCUAUCAAAAUAUUUUGUACAAAUCCAAAAAAAGAUAGCUCAACGCUUUUCGCCUCUUAUGGGCUAUUAGCAUGGUUCUUUUAAAUGUCAUAUUAUAAACAAUUCAGUUAACCCAAAUAAAGUUAAGAAAAAGUAAAUUCAAAUUCUUGUAAGAAAUUUAAGGAGCAAAAAAAUAGGCUAACUGACCUAAAUAGAGUGUCUUGGCAUACUCU